AAGUCGAUGAGGCCGCGCAAGAGGCCCGUCGCCCGCUGAAGCGUUUGCACGGCUCCGGCAGGCGGCUCGCCAUCUUUUCCAGCCAGCCGGCCCUCAUGCAGGAUGCUGUAUUCUGUGCUCCUUUGUGAAUGUCUGUGGCUUAUAACUGGUUAUGCUUAUGAUGAUGACUGGAUUGACCCCACAGACAUGCUGAACUAUGAUGCUGCUUCAGGAACAAUGAGAAAAUCUCAGGUGAAAUAUGGUGAGGAGAAAAAAGAAGUCAGUCCUGACUUGUCCUGUGCUGAUGAAUUGUCGGAAUGUUAUAACAGGCUUGAUUCUUUAACUCAUAAGAUCAGUGAGUGUGAAAAGAAAAAGCAAGAAGACUAUGAAAGUCAAAGCAAUCCUGUUUUUAGGAGAUACUUAAAUAAAAUUUUGAUUGAAGCCAGAAAGCUCGGACUUCCCGAAGAAAACAAAGAUGAUAUGCAUUAUGAUGCUGAGAUUAUCCUAAAAAGACAAACCUUGCUAGAAAUACAGAAGUUUCUCAGUGGAGAGGAUUGGAAGCCAGGAGCCUUGGAUGAUGCACUAAGUGAUAUUUUAAUUAAUUUUAAGUUUCAUGAUUUUGAAACCUGGAAGUGGCGAUUUGAAGACUUCUUUGGAGUGGAUCCGUACAACGUGUUGAUGGUGCUUCUGUGUCUGCUCUGCAUUGUGGCACUGGUGGCUACUGAGCUGUGGACGUGCGUGCAUUGGUACACCCAGUUGAGACGUGUUUUAUUCAUCAGUUUUCUCGUCAGCUUGGGCUGGAAUUGGAUGUAUUUAUAUAAGCUGGCCUUCGCACAGCGUCAGGCCGAGGUGGCCAAGAUGGAGCCGUUUAACAACGUGUGUGCCGAGAAGGUGGACUGGAUCGGAAGUCUCUGGGAAGUGUUUAGAAGUUCAGUGACCUAUCAGGAUGACCCGUGCCAAAAAUACUAUGAACUCUUGUUAGUCAACCCUAUUUGGUUGGUUCCACCGACAAAGGCAAUGGCAGUUACGUUCACCAACUUUGUCACGGAGCCAUUGAAACACAUUGGAGAAGGGAUCGGUGAAUUUAUUAGGGCGCUCAUGAAGGAGAUUCCAAUAUUGCUUCACAUUCCGGUGCUGAUAAUGAUGGCACUGGCUGUCCUGGGUUUCUGUUACGGUGCUGGAAAAUCAGUUAAUGUGCUGAGACAAAUAGGUGGUCCCGAGAGAGAGCCACCCCGGGCUCUUGAGCCAGGUGACAGAGGACGGCAGAAGGAAGUUGGUUAUAGACCCCAUGGUGGAGCAGGUGAUGCAGAUUUCUAUUAUAGAGGCCCGAUCGGCCCCAUUGAGCAAGGCCCUUAUGACAAAACAUAUGAGGGUAGAAGAGAUGUUUUGAGAGAGAGAGAUGUUGACUUGAGACUUAAGAGUGGCAACAAGAGCCCCGAAGUGCUCCGGGCCUGUGACUUACCAGACGCAGAGGCGGGAGAGCGUCCCAAGGCGGUGCCCAGUCAUAAAUUACCUCUUUUGGCUGCAAAGCCCAAAGAGAUUGGUGGAAUCCCAAGAGGAGGCACCCCGCCAGAAGGCAGCACUGAAAUCAGCCAGUCCACUGAGCCCGUGUCUGGCCCAGAGACCUCAGAGAAGGUGGAAGGUGCAUCUGGAGAGGAAGAGGGCCAGCUCAGGACCGAAGCCAGAGGCAGCCCAGAGGAAGGCGGUGCAUCCGGCCCCGCCAGCUGUGGAAAGGAUCUGGAUGGUGGCCCACGUGGCUAGAGGAACACAGACUCAGACUACAGCUCUGAGGUGGUCUUUGGGUUUUGUAAAGUAUACUCUUCACAGUCAUGGGCUGUUCUCUCCACAUAUUCUGACACUAUACAGAUAACCAUUUGGGGAUGCAGUCCACUUUGACAGCUAGCAGAGCGACAUACUACUGCUGUUGAAUGAGAGCAAUUUAGGAAAGACAUUAAAGCAAACUGAACAGAUCAAGGCCAGUUUAUAACUUGGAGAAAUAGGCUUGUUAAUGUCCAGCUCAUAUUUAUCAUUAAAAUCAAGGAUUAUAGUAACAGGCCUUUAGGAAAAUCAGUAGGGCAGAUAGCUUUUUAAAAGCAGUUUUUAAAUGGAAUAAUGUUGAAUGUUCACAGGGUCUAAGAACUAUGGUGUACACAAAAUAAACACUUAUUUUUACAUUA